GCCUUCGUGGUGUAGUGGUCAGCACGCUCGGCCCGAAUUCGAGGAGUCCGGGUCCGUGGUUCGAAUCCCGGCAAGAGCA
rnacentral:tRNA from 1 species